AAUCAACGCUGGCGGCGUGCCUCAGACAUGCAAGUCGAACGAUUAAAGCUCUCUUCGGAGAGUGUAUAGAGUGGCGCACGGGUGAGUAACACGUAAGUAAUCUACCCUCGAGUGGGGAAUAACAACCCGGAAACGGUUGCUAAUACCGCAUAAUGCAGCGGCACCGCAAGGUGACAGUUGUUAAAGAUUUAUCGCUUGAGGAGGAGCUUGCGGCAGAUUAGCUAGUUGGUAGGGUAACGGCUUACCAAGGGCUACGAUCUGUAACCGGUCUAAGAGGACGGUCGGUCACACUGACACUGAAUAAACGGGUCAGACUCCUACGGGAGGCAGCAGUCGGGAAUUUUGGGCAAUGGGCGAAAGCCUGACCCAGCAACGCCGCGUGAAGGAUGAAGUAUUUCGGUAUGUAAACUUCGAAAGAAUAGG
rnacentral:rRNA from 1 species